GAAACAAGGUAGCCAUGGCCACAGAAAUUGGCUCACCGCCCCGAUUUUUCCAUAUGCCGAGGUUCCAGCACCAGGCGCCUCGGCAGUUGUUCUACAAAAGACCAGAUUUUGCACAGCAGCAAGCAAUGCAACAGCUUACUUUUGAUGGAAAGCGGAUGAGAAAAGCUGUGAACCGAAAGACCAUAGACUACAAUCCCUCUGUAAUUAAAUAUUUGGAGAAUAGAGUAUGGCAGAGAGAUCAGCGAGAUAUGCGAGCAAUCCAGCCUGAUGCAGGAUAUUAUAACGACUUGGUCCCUCCUAUCGGAAUGCUGAACAACCCUAUGAAUGCUGUAACAACAAAAUUUGUUCGGACAUCUACUAAUAAAGUAAAAUGCCCAGUGUUUGUUGUCAGGUGGACUCCUGAGGGGAGACGCUUGGUCACUGGUGCAUCUAGUGGAGAGUUCACUUUAUGGAAUGGACUGACUUUCAAUUUUGAAACUAUAUUGCAGGCUCACGACAGCCCUGUAAGGGCUAUGACUUGGUCACACAAUGAUAUGUGGAUGCUGACAGCAGACCACGGGGGAUAUGUGAAAUACUGGCAGUCCAACAUGAACAACGUCAAGAUGUUCCAGGCACAUAAGGAGGCGAUUAGAGAGGCCAGGUUUAUACACAAUAUACCAUUUUCUGUAGUACCUAUUGCCAUGAUUAGACUGUUCUCUAAGUGUAUUCUGGGUGCAGAAAUGCAUGGGUUCUGUCAGAUUCUGGGAAACUUCCUGCACCACAUAAACACAAUAUUUUCUUUUGUUUCCACAUUCUCACAGUUUUGCUGGCACCUUUCUGAAUUAGUAUUGUCCCAGUAUCCGCCUCUGCAAUAUGUUAGAGAUGUAUUUGUCUGCCGCAUUUUGCACUGGUAUUCUUUUCAUUUUUAUAUGGUGACGAUGUGUAUCAGUUAUUCCUUUUUAUACGCACUGUGUAAGACAACAAUUUCAUUCCAAAUAAAGAAUUCAGUCUUUAA